AGAGUUUGAUCAUGGCUCAGGACGAACGCUGGCGGCGUGCUUAACACAUGCAAGUCGAACGGUGAUCUUGAGAGCUUGCUCUUGGGUGAUCAGUGGCGAACGGGUGAGUAACACGUGAGCAACCUGCCCCAGACUCUGGAAUAACCCCGGGAAACCGGAGCUAAUACCGGAUACGACACUGGCCCGCAUGGGUAUGGUGUGGAAAGUUUUUCGGUCUGGGAUGGGCUCGCGGCCUAUCAGCUUGUUGGCGAGGUAGUGGCUCACCAAGGCGACGACGGGUAGCCGGCCUGAGAGGGCGACCGGCCACACUGGGACUGAGACACGGCCCAGACUCCUACGGGAGGCAGCAGUGGGGAAUAUUGCACAAUGGGCGCAAGCCUGAUGCAGCGACGCCGCGUGAGGGAUGACGGCCUUCGGGUUGUAAACCUCUUUCAGCAGGGAAGAAGCGCAAGUGACGGUACCUGCAGAAGAAGCACCGGCUAACUACGUGCCAGCAGCCGCGGUA
rnacentral:rRNA from 1 species